rnacentral:rRNA from 1 species
AGAGUUUGAUCAUGGCUCAGAUUGAACGCUGGCUGCAUGCUUAAUACAUGCAAGUCGAACGGUAACAUUAGGAGCUUGCUCCUAGAUGACGAGUGGCGGACGGGUGAGUAAUGCAUGGAAAUCUACCUUUCAGCGGGGGGCAGUCCAGAGAAAACCAGGCUAAUACCGAAUGUGGUCUAGAAGAAAGUAGGCCACUAUUUAUAAGCUUACACUGAAAGAUGAGUCCAUGUUCGAUUAGCUAGUUGGUAGGGUAAGAGCCUACCAAGGCGACGAUCGAUAGCUGGUCUGAGAGGACGAUCAGCCACACUGGGACUGAGACACGGCCCAGACUCCUACGGGAGGCAGCAGUAGGGAGUAUUGGACAAUGGGCGCAAGCCUGAUCCAGCAAUGCCGCGUGUGUGAAGAAGGCCUGCGGGUUGUAAAGCACUUUCAAUUGGGAAGAAAGAUUUAGAGUUAAUACCUCUUAAUAUUGACGUUACCAAUAGAAGAAGCACCGGCUAACUCUGUGCCAGCAGCCGCGGUAAUACAGAGGGUGCAAGCGUUGUUCGGAAUCACUGGGCGUAAAGGGCGCGUAGGCGGCCAAGCAAGUCAGAUGUGAAAGCCCACGGCUCAACCGUGGAAGUGCAUUUGAAACUGCUUGGCUUGAGUAUCAGAGGGGAAAGUGGAAUUCCCGGUGUAGAGGUGAAAUUCGUAGAUAUCGGGAGGAAUACCGGUGGCGAAGGCGACUCUCUGGACCAAUACUGACGCUGAGGCGCGAAAGCGUGGGGAGCAAACAGGAUUAGAUACCCUGGUAGUCCACGCCGUAAACGAUGUCAACUAACUGUUGGGCGGGUUUCCGCUUAGUGGUGCAGCUAACGCAAUAAGUUGACCGCCUGGGGAGUACGGCCGCAAGGCUAAAACUCAAAUGAAUUGACGGGGGCCCGCACAAGCGGUGGAGCAUGUGGUUUAAUUCGAUGCAACGCGAAGAACCUUACCUACCCUUGACAUCAUCAGAACUUGUUAGAGAUAACUCGGUGCCUUCGGGAACUGAUAGACAGGUGCUGCAUGGCUGUCGUCAGCUCGUGUCGUGAGAUGUUGGGUUAAGUCCCGUAACGAGCGCAACCCUUGCCCUUAGUUGCUACCAGGUUAUGCUGGGCACUCUAGGGGGACCGCCGGUGAUAAGCCGGAGGAAGGCGGGGACGACGUCAAGUCAUCAUGGCCCUUAUGGGUAGGGCUACACACGUGCUACAAUGGCAAGUACAGAGGGUCGCAAGCUCGCGAGAGUAAGCUAAUCCCACAAAGCUUGUCUUAGUCCGGAUUGGAGUCUGCAACUCGACUCCAUGAAGUCGGAAUCGCUAGUAAUCGUAGAUCAGAAUGCUACGGUGAAUACGUUCCCGGGCCUUGUACACACCGCCCGUCACACCAUGGGAGUGGGUUGCAAAAUAAGUGGGUAGCUUAACAAUGGGGAGGACGGUCACCACUUUGUGUUUCAUGACUGGGGUGAAGUCGUAACAAGGU